CUUGGAAAAAAAGGGGUGGAGGGGGGGGUUAAUAAAAUCUGCGUGUCUCCUCUUCGCGCUGGAGGUGUAUGAAGGUGAUUGUGGAUUGGUUAAAGGGAGUCGAUGGAUUGUCAUGCAUAAGACAGCCCAGCAUCUGACCCUCAGGCCACGGGGGUUUAACAAAAAAUCCAGAGCUGCACUGGGUGAAACAAGGACGAAACAGCAGCAUCACGGCACUAAAGACAGCGAGAGAGCAUCUGUGCACAUGUGGGACAUCUUAAAUCAUGAGAGAGAGUGCUGUGAAACAACCUGAAAUGAGUGGUACGUAGAUAGGAAAAAACCCAAAGGGCUCUGUUCAUUGUAAAUUCAACUAUGACAACACCGUGAACACACAUAUAGAUCUCUCAUCUUAGCUGCAUUUAACUGUGGUUUAACAACACAACUGUAAGACAAGUAGAUGUAAACUUAAACGUGCCAUACAUACACAUACACAAAAGCACACUUCAAAUGACUUGACUUGGUUGCAAAAUUCAGAAAUUUUGCCUGUUCUUCAUUUUCCUUGAAAUAAACAGC